rnacentral:rRNA from 1 species
GACGAACGCUGGCGGCGUGCUUAACACAUGCAAGUCGAGCGGACAGGCCAUGCUCUUGUGGGGUGCUCGUGUGGCGCACGGGUGAGUAAAACGCGAGUAACCUGCACCUGACUUUGGGAUAACUUCUGGGAACUGGGGAUCAUACACCAUAGAAGAUCCUGAAGCAUGGGGUGGGUUGGAGAAAUGCGGCGGUUGGGGCUGGACUCGCGGCUUAUCCGCUUGUUGGGCGGGUAGUGGCUUACAAAGCCUUUGACGGAUAGCCGGCCUGGGAGGGUGGCCGGCGACAAUGGGACUGAGAUACGCCCCAGACUGCAACGGGACGCAGCGGGGGGGAGUAUUGCAGAGUGGGGGGAAGUCAGUGACGGCGACGCUGCGUUCGUGAUGACGGCUUUCGAGUUGUAAACCGCUUUCUCCUGAGACGAGGCGUUAGUGACGGUAACUGGUAAAGAAGCACCGGCUAACUACGUG